CACGUAGGGCGCGAGCGUUGUCCGGAAUUAUUGGGCGUAAAGAGCUCGUAGGCGGUCUGUCGCGUCGGAUGUGAAAACCCAGGGCUCAACCCUGGGCCUGCAUUCGAUACGGGCAGACUAGAGUGUGGCAGGGGAGACUGGAAUUCCUGGUGUAGCGGUGGAAUGCGCAGAUAUCAGGAGGAACACCGGUGGCGAAGGCGGGUCUCUGGGCCGUUACUGACGCUGAGGAGCGAAAGCGUGGGGAGCGAACAGG
rnacentral:rRNA from 1 species